rnacentral:rRNA from 1 species
AUUGAACGCUGGCGGAAUGCUUAACACAUGCAAGUCGAACGAUGAACCACUUCGGUGGGGAUUAGUGGCGAACGGGUGAGUAACACGUGGGCAAUCUGCCCUUCACUCUGGGACAAGCCCUGGAAACGGGGUCUAAUACCGGAUACAACACUCUCGGGCAUCCGAUGAGUGCGGAAAGCUCCGGCGGUGAAGGAUGAGCC